rnacentral:lncRNA from 1 species
UUGAUUCCGACGGCUACCUAUGUAUAGUACGCCCACAAGCCACGGUGGAUAGUUCAGAUCAACAGCACUAUGUUCAAAGUCUAAAAGUUGUCCUACUGCUAUCGAGAAGGCUAGUACACUUUUUAAAUUUGCAAAUUCCUCGAAAGAAGAGAGGGUUAUAUAUAUUAUUAUUAGUCUUAGAGUAGCAUUAUCACCUGAAUCGUCCAUUUACUUUUUU